UACGUGAGCCACAAGCGUUAGCCGGAUUUACUGGGCGUAAAGGGUACCGUAGGCGGUCAAGCAAGUCUCAGGUUAAAGACCUCGGGCUCAACCUGAGGGGUGCCUGAGAUACUGCUUGGCUAGAGGGCGGUAGAGGCCGGUGGAACUGCCGGUGUAGGGGUGAAAUCCGUUGAUAUCGGCAGGAACGCCGAAAGCGAAGGCAGCCGGCUGGGCCGACCCUGACGCUGAGGGACGAAAGCGUGGGGAGCAAAGGGGAUUAGAAACCCGUGUAGU
rnacentral:rRNA from 1 species